rnacentral:misc_RNA from 1 species
UAUGAAGAACGCAGCGAAAUGCGAUAAGUAAUGUGAAUUGCAGAAUUCAGUGAAUCAUCGAAUCUUUGAACGCACAUUGCGCCCGCCAGUAUUCUGGCGGGCAUGCCUGUCCGAGCGUCAUUUCAACCCUCGAACCCCUCCGGGGGGUCGGCGUUGGGGACCUCGGGAGCCCCUAAGACGGGAUCCCGGCCCCGAAAUACAGUGGCGGUCUCGCCGCAGCCUCUCCUGCGCAGUAGUUUGCACAACUCGCACCGGGAGCGCGGCGCGUCCACGUCCGUAAAACACCCAACUUCUGAAAUGUUGACCUCGGAUCAGGUAGGAAUACCCGCUGAACUUAAGCAUAUCAAUAAGCGGAGGA